UACGUAGGGUGCAAGCGUUAAUCGGAAUUACUGGGCGUAAAGCGUGCGCAGGCGGUUGUGCAAGACAGAUGUGAAAUCCCCGGGCUUAACCUGGGAAUGGCAUUUGUGACUGCACGGCUAGAGUGUGUCAGAGGGGGGGUAGAAUUCCACGUGUAGCAGUGAAAUGCGUAGAUAUGUGGAGGAAUACCGAUGGCGAAGGCAGCCCCCCUGGGAUAACACUGACGCUCAUGCACGAAAGCGUGGGGGAGCAAACAGG
rnacentral:rRNA from 1 species